rnacentral:lncRNA from 1 species
GCCUGAGUCGUCUGUGGGUACGCUGGACUUGCGGUCCGUCUCCUGGCGCGGUUCAGGCAGUCGGGGAUGGGGCGGGGUCUCGCCGUCGGGUCGCCGAUGGGUCGAACUUCCGUUCAGACGUCCCGGGUCCGGCGCGGGGAAGGCAGCCUGGCGCGCGCUAAUUGCCUAUUGGCCUGUGCUGCCGGCUCGCAGCCCGGGUGGACCCGAGCCACGCCCCCUGGAGUGCGCCGGAAAGCCGGGCGCGCUAGAGCUCGCGGGAGGCCAUCAUGAGGAAGCCACGAGCAGCCGUGGGAAGUGGUCACAGGAAGCAGGCAGCCAGCCAGGAAGGGAGGCAGAAGCAUGCUAAGAACAACAGUCAGGCCAAGCCUUCUGCCUGUGAUGGUAAGGAACUAGGUUGUGGCCCAAGGCUCAUUGGCCAUGAAAGGCAGAUUCAGGCUGGGAAGGGAUUGUGAUACGUAUCAAGACAUUAAGAGACUUACUAAGGGCCAGGUGCGGUGGCUCACACCUGUAAUCCCAGCACUUUGGGAGGCCGAGGCAGGUGGAUCCCUUGAGCCCAGGAGUUUGAGACCAGCUUGGGUAACAUGGCGAAAUCCCCUCUCUAUGCUCGCGUGGUGGUGAGCGUCUGUAGUCCCAGCUACUCGGGAAGCUGAGGUGACAGGAUCGCUUGAGCCU